UUCUGAUCAUCAAACCGUUUCUGACCAGAUCUGUUUCUGAUCAUUCUCCACACCUGGUCGCGAGCCCCACCUCUGGUUCACCAGCCAAACAGCAGAUUAAUAGAUUUCUUCCAGGCUCAUCACCCCUCUGGGGACUGUCUGUCUCCCAGCUGGAGGCUUGCUCCCUCGUUUAAGCACAUCUGGAAGAGUCAGUUUCCAAAUAAGGUCUGAGUGGCAGCCAAAACUUCAAAAGAUACAGAUACAAGGGUGAAAUCUUAGCCACUGAGUUGGCCAUCAGGAGAAAGUAACUUGAGUUUUUAGAACAAAUAGAGUAUGGGGAUCACUGCAACAUUGUCAAGCCUUUCUGACACUUCAUCAGAAAACACAAGCAUAGGAAAUUUGUGGUCAUAUUUCUCGGCCUCCCAGGUGCACUCUUUUAUGAACAGAUCAUCGUUAGGGGGUUUUCAGUUACAAUUGAAAAGAUGUCUAAUGUCCUAAAGAACUAUCAGAAGUGACAGAAAUGCAAAAGUGGAAAGAGAAAUGUGACCAGUCACCCAUAAGAGAAAGAAUGAGAUCAAUGGAUUCAAGGACAAGAUGAAGGGAUGUAUGACGCCAGGACAAAGACUGUGACUGCUCUGGCACAGCAGUAGCAAACUUUGACAGUGAUCCAGGAAGUUGAACAAUUACUUAAGGUGAAGCAUAUCACUGGUGCAGCUAUCAACGGAGCCAUCCACAUUUUUUCAACAACAAAAAAUAUGAAGCCAUUUCCAGUCAGUUCCCUCCUGUCCUGCAUUUGUGGCCCAGUCUUUCCUCUGUUUAAGUCAAUCAGGACGUAUUCAUUGACUUAAACUGGAGCAGAUGAAGUUCUUCAACUUGCACAGGCUAAGAAGCCGGAGAGCUGAAUGUUUUCUACGAGCCAAGAGUCACUGCGGCAGUGCAGAGUGUGACUGGGAACAGCUUUGUUAGCAGGCUGAAGGCAGACUUACAGCUUCAUUGAGGAUUCAGUUGCAUCCCAUUUACAGGAUGAAUAGGAUUCAGUUUCAUCCGAAAGGAGCCUGGGUCAUCCAGACCGCACAGCAGUGAGAACAAAAGCACAGAAAAUGGGAACCAUUGGGAGACUGGCCUCUAAAGCACCUACAACCCUGACUACAUCUGUGAUGGCGACAAGCUCCCAGUGGGUCACAAUAAAUACCCAGUGGCAAUGGAGACAAGUGGGUGGAGUAUAAGAGUGCCUGGAGUUAACAUAAUGAAACUGAAUCCUUUUCUUGAACAAGAAGUGAAAUAAACUUUAAAUCAAAGUCUCCAUUAAGGCCCCUUCUGCAAGAUGCUACUUUCAGUUUCUGAUAAUCAUUAUAAAUGGAGCAGAUUGGAAAAACUCAAAUGGAUCCAAUAUGAAAAGCCUCACUGCCUCCAGUCACUGCAGGGGGAGAGGAAUGCAGCCCCACUUACCUCCAAACUCAUUUUGGUCUUCCUACACCCCGACAGUAAAAUACAUGUGGAAAACCAGAAAUGCUGUGAGGUGAUGACAAUUACCUGAAGAUAUGAAGAUGAGCAGUGAACAGACCAGAGAAGAGAAGUCAGGUGUGGAUGGCCAGGCCACACCAUACUUCUGUACUCAUUAAGAAAAUAAAUAAACUCUUAGUUGGAUACAUUAAAAAAGAGUUGGUGGUUUCCAGCUGCAACUCACUUUAGUUCUUUAAAAUUAUCCUUGCGUUUCUGUUUAAGAAUUUACCUUGAGGAGGGAUGGGAAUCUGCUGCAUGCUACCAUCUGUCUUUCCUUAGAAAUACAGCACAAUAAAAGUGAGAUUGUCUUGUCUCUUUUAUAAGGUUAGUAAGAAAGCUUUGAUUGCUUCUUCUCUUAUUCACUAGAAAUUUAUAGUAAGAUGUUACAUUUUCCUUUUGUCUGUUUGCUGCAACAUCUGAGCUGUGUGUGAAAGACUGUGCCCUGUGGAUGAGAAGGUGCUUCACAGAGAGCAGCUUCAGUGAGCCAACUUAUUCACCAUGGUUCAAAAAUGGAAACUCCCCUCCAUUCUCAGAAUUUUGGUGCUUUUUGUUAUAUUCUGGGAUACUGUUGUGGUUAUAGCUUACUUCUGCCCCUUCUCCUGAAAUGCCCAAAUUUCUGUGAUGUGAGUUUUGUUCUACUUUUAGGAUGCCAAGUGGAAGAUUAUUCUAUUUCACUUUUGAGUCCUUUCCUGUUAUUACCUCAAACAUCGACAACAAAUUUUUCGGCCUUUCCCUUUUCUGAAGCAGUGGUGACAAAGUUCCUCUUUCUUUCCCCUUCUUCUUUUUCUUUUAAAACACAAAGAAACAAAACAUUCUCCAGAUGUUUUGUGAUCUAAUCCCUUAUUAACUUUGGAAAGAUCCUUUCUACCACAGGGAUCAGAUUCAUUAAUCUAUGGCUUCCUGACUCCUCUCCUACAGUAUUUCCAGGAAUGCAGAUACCUAUUUUGGCAUGGAAUCUGUAUUCCAUGAGCACAAACCUUCAAAUAUAUCUAUUUACCACACCUCUGACUGUAUCCGUUUCUCAAUCGGAUAAUUUAAUUUCCAGUCAAAGCAGGCACACAAAUUAGGCAGCCAUUUAAUCAGUGAUUAACCAAAUAAUCUCCUUUUACCAUAAAUUUGUAGUGUCUGGAGACCUUGUAGACUUCUUGGAAAAGGUGGCCUGUCU
ensembl:lncRNA